CAUAAACAAAGUGAACUUUCUACUCUUUUUUCAUAACUUUUCUUCCUCAACUCUCAUUUUUUUCACUUUCCUUUUUUUUGAUACUUUGUUUUUUAUAACUAAGAACAAGAGCAGAUAUAACACUUACACACACUUUUUUUUGAAACAAGACACAACCAUUAGCGUUCUAACUUGAUAGGCUCAAAGUUUACGCGAAGGAUGAUACCGGUUUCAGAUUUUCUUUAGGGAUUUGUAGAUAUAAAAGAGGCACAAAUGACACAGAAAGGAUAUGAUGAUCAGCAACUAAACAAAACUCUAAUGGACUAAAACUUAACCAAACUCACAAGAAAAACAGAUUGAAACAAAGGGCUAAUGCAAUUUUUUAUGGCUUUUUUGGUGGAUAGGACGAACAAGAUAUAUAUAUGUAGCUAAGGGUAAAAAUCCUACCUUGGAAACUUGAGCUCUGAUACCAGUUGGUGAUGUCGUUGUCCCGAUCUUCACG
rnacentral:lncRNA from 1 species